AUGGCGACCGGCGCACGGGUGAGUAACGCGUAUCCAACCUGCCCUUUACUAUGGGACAGCCCGUCGAAAGGCGGAUUAAUACCGUAUGUUGUCAUGUUGAUGCAUAUUUUCAUGACCAAAGGCUUCGGCCGGUAAAGGAUGGGGAUGCGUCUGAUUAGCUUGCCGGCGGGGUAACGGCCCACCGGGGCGACGAUCAGUAGGGGUUCUGAGAGGAAGGUCCCCCCACAUUGGAACUGAGACACGGUCCAAACUCCUACGGAAGGCAGCAG
rnacentral:rRNA from 1 species